rnacentral:rRNA from 1 species
AUUGAACGCUGGCGGCAGGCCUAACACAUGCAAGUCGAGCGGAUGAAGGGAGCUUGCUCCUGGAUUCAGCGGCGGACGGGUGAGUAAUGCCUAGGAAUCUGCCUGGUAGUGGGGGAUAACGUCCGGAAACGGGCGCUAAUACCGCAUCCGUCCUGAGGGAGAAAGUGGGGGAUCUUCGGACCUCACGCUAUCAGAUGCGCCUAGGUCGGAUUAGCUAGUUGGUGGGGUAAAGGCCUACCAAGGCGACGAUCCGUAACUGGUCUGAGAGGAUGAUCAGUCACACUGGAACUGAGACACGGUCCAGACUCCUACGGGAGGCAGCAGUGGGGAAUAUUGGACAAUGGGCGAAAGCCUGAUCCAGCCAUGCCGCGUGUGUGAAGAAGGUCUUCGGAUUGUAAAGCACUUUAAGUUGGGAGGAAGGGCAGUAAGUUAAUACCUUGCUGUUUUGACGUUACCAACAGAAUAAGCACCGGCUAACUUCGUG